rnacentral:rRNA from 1 species
AUGGUGUUCCCUGAGCCAUGGUGUGUGCCUUCUCCUCCCCUAGAUCAUCUCACCAAUUACUUGCACGCUAGAGGUAGGCUAGACCAUACUGAAAACGAUCUUCCAUUUUCACAAUUAUUUAUUUCUCUCUUUUUGUGCAUCUCCGAUCCCUGUUCAUACUUUAUUACUACAGGAAUGUAUAUCAUAGAUUAUCUAGAAACGAUACUGCUUACUUCUGAUGCUCCAUCAUCCUGUCAGGCUUCAUUUAAUCCUAAAGGCUCCUUUGUCAAGGAAAAACAUCUACCUAUAUUGCUGACAUAG